rnacentral:rRNA from 1 species
UGGGGAAUAUUGGACAAUGGGCGCAAGCCUGAUCCAGCCAUGCCGCGUGUGUGAAGAAGGCCUUUUGGUUGUAAAGCACUUUAAGCGAGGAGGAGGCUACUUGGAUUAAUACUCUAGGAUAGUGGACGUUACUCGCAGAAUAAGCACCGGCUAACUCUGUGCCAGCAGCCGCGGUAAUACAGAGGGUGCGAGCGUUAAUCGGAUUUACUGGGCGUAAAGCGUGCGUAGGCGGCUUCUUAAGUCGGAUGUGAAAUCCAUGAGCUUAACUUAGGAAUUGCAUUCGAUACUGGGAAGCUAGAGUAUGGGAGAAGAUGGUAGAAGUCCAGGUGUAGCGGUGAAAUGCGUAGAGAUCUGGAGGAAUACCGAUGGCGAAGGCAGCCAUCUGGCCUAAUACUGACGCUGAGGUACGAAAGCAUGGGGAGCAAACAGG